CAUAGAUAAUCGUCAGCCUGUCUCAUGCAGUCGAGCGGUAACAGGAAUUACUUGCUAAUUCGCUGACGAGCGGCGGACGGGUGAGUAAUGCCUGGGAAUAUGCCUUAGUGUGGGGGAUAACUAUUGGAAACGAUAGCUAAUACCGCAUAAUGUCUUCGGACCAAAGAGGGGGACCUUCGGGCCUCUCGCGCUAAGAUUAGCCCAGGUGAGAUUAGCUAGUUGGUGAGGUAAGAGCUCACCAAGGCGACGAUCUCUAGCUGGUCUGAGAGGAUGAUCAGCCACACUGGAACUGAGACACGGUCCAGACUCCUACGGGAGGCAGCAGUGGGGAAUAUUGCACAAUGGGCGAAAGCCUGAUGCAGCCAUGCCGCGUGUAUGAAGAAGGCCUUCGGGUUGUAAAGUACUUUCAGUAGGGAGGAAGGUUCAUGCGUUAAUAGCGUAUGGAUUUGACGUUACCUACAGAAGAAGCACCGGCUAACUCCGUGCCAGCAGCCGCGGUAAUACGGAGGGUGCGAGCGUUAAUCGGAAUUACUGGGCGUAAAGCGCAUGCAGGUGGUUCAUUAAGUCAGAUGUGAAAGCCCGGGGCUCAACCUCGGAACCGCAUUUGAAACUGGUGAACUAGAGUGCUGUAGAGGGGGGUAGAAUUUCAGGUGUAGCGGUGAAAUG
rnacentral:rRNA from 1 species